rnacentral:rRNA from 1 species
GAUGAACGCUGGCGGCGUGCCUAAUACAUGCCAGUCGAGCGAACAGAUGAGGAGCUUGCUCCUCCGACGUUAGCGGCGGACGGGUGAGUAACACGUGGAUAACCUACCUAUAAGACUGGGAUAACUUCGGGAAACCGGAGCUAAUACCGGAUAAUAUAUUGAACCGCAUGGUUCAAUAGUGAAAGACGGUUUUGCUGUCACUUAUAGAUGGAUCCGCGCCGCAUUAGCUAGUUGGUAAGGUAACGGCUUACCAAGGCAACGAUGCGUAGCCGACCUGAGAGGGUGAUCGGCCACACUGGAACUGAGACACGGUCCAGACUCCUACGGGAGGCAGCAGUAGGGAAUCUUCCGCAAUGGGCGAAAGCCUGACGGAGCAACGCCGCGUGAGUGAUGAAGGUCUUCGGAUCGUAAAACUCUGUUAUUAGGGAAGAACAAAUGUGUAAGUAACUAUGCACGUCUUGACGGUACCUAAUCAGAAAGCCACGGCUAACUACGUG